AGUGAACGCUGGCGGUAGGCCUAACACAUGCAAGUCGAACGGCAGCACAGUAAGAGCUUGCUCUUACGGGUGGCGAGUGGCGGACGGGUGCGGAAUACAUCGGAAUCUACUUUUUCGUGGGGGAUAACGUAGGGAAACUUACGCUAAUACCGCAUACGACCUACGGGUGAAAGCAGGGGAUCUUCGGACCUUGCGCGAUUGAAUGAGCCGAUGUCGGAUUAGCUAGUUGGCGGGGUAAAGGCCCACCAAGGCGACGAUCCGUAGCUGGUCUGAGAGGAUGAUCAGCCACACUGGAACUGAGACACGGUCCAGACUCCUACGGGAGGCAGCAGUGGGGAAUAUUGGACAAUGGGCGCAAGCCUGAUCCAGCCAUGCCGCGUGGGUGAAGAAGGCCUUCGGAUUGUAAAGCCCUUUUGUUGGGAAAGAAAAGCAGCAGGUUAAUACCCCGCUGUUCUGACGGUACCAAAAGAAUAAGCACCGGCUAACUUCGUG
rnacentral:rRNA from 1 species